AGAGUUUGAUCAUGGCUCAGAACGAACGCUGGCGGCAGGCCUAACACAUGCAAGUCGAACGGGCGUAGCAAUACGUCAGUGGCGGACGGGUGAGUAACACGUGGGAAUAUGCCUUUCGGUUCGGAACAACUCGGGGAAACCCGUGCUAAUUCCGGAUACGCCCUUACGGGGAAAGAUUUAUCGCCGAAAGAUUAGCCCGCGUUGGAUUAGCUUGUUGGUGAGGUAAAGGCUCACCAAGGCGACGAUCCAUAGCUGGUUUGAGAGAACGACCAGCCACACUGGGACUGAGACACGGCCCAGACUCCUACGGGAGGCAGCAGUGGGGAAUCUUGGACAAUGGAGGAAACUCUGAUCCAGCCAUGCCGCGUGAGUGAUGAAGGCCUUCGGGUUGUAAAACUCUUUUGGCGGGGACGAUAAUGACGGUACCCGCAGAAUAAGCUCCGGCUAACUUCGUGCCAGCAGCCGCGGUAAUACGAAGGGGGCUAGCGUUGUUCGGAAUUACUGGGCGUAAAGCGUGCGCAGGCGGCUUCUCAAGUCAGGGGUGAAAGCCCAGAGCUCAACUCUGGAACUGCCUUUGAGACUGAGAGGCUUGAGUACGGGAGAGGUGAGUGGAAUUCCCAGUGUAGAGGUGAAAUUCGUAGAUAUUGGGAAGAACACCGGUGGCGAAGGCGGCUCACUGGCCCGAAACUGACGCUCAUGCACGACAGCGUGGGGAUCAAACAGGAUUAGAUACCCUAGUAGUCC
rnacentral:rRNA from 1 species